AUGACCUAAUUGCUAUCAUGGAAACAGGGUGGGAUGAAUCGCAUGAUUGGAAUACCCUGAUUGAGGACUACAGGCUUUUCAGAAGGGAUAGACAGGUUAGGAGGGUGGUGGAGUUGCCCUCUUAUGUUAGGAAGUGGACAGAUUGUGAAGAGCUGUGUCUGAGGAACAGCCAUGAUCAGGUUGAGAGCUUGUGGGUAAAAACUGCGGAUCAGUCCAGCAAAGGGCAUCUAGCGGCUGCGGUCUGUUACAGGCCACCUGAUCAGGAAGAGGCUGUGGACGAGACCUUCUUGCUUCAGCGGCAGGAGGUGUCAUGCUUGCGGGCUCUCCUCCUGAUGGAGGAUUUCAACCACCCGGAUAUCUGCUGGGAUAGUGCCAUGGUGGGUGGCAGACAAUCCAAGAGAUUCCUGGAGUCUGUUGAGGACAACUUUCUGGUCCAGGUAAUAGAUGGAGAGGUUUAGAUUGCGGGCAACCUGGGCUGCAGUGACCAUGCCUUGGUGGAGUUUGUGAUCUUGAAGAAUGCGGGCCUGGCAAAAAGCACAGUCACGACGCUGUGCUUUAGGAAAGGGAACUUCCGUCUGCUCAAGGAACUGCUGAGUGGGAUCCCCUGGGAAACUGUCCUUAAGGGCAUGGGCACAGACCAGAGAUGGCAGCUCUUUAAGGACACCCUUCCGAGAGCUCAAAGGCUCUCCAUCCCCCAGCAGAAGUCGUCGAGCAGGGGAGGCAGGCGACUGUCGUGGCUGUGCAAGGACCUGCAGCUUAAAUUGAGAGAAAAGAGGGAAAUGUACAGAAAGUGGAAGCAGGGUUGUGUAUUCUGGGAGGAAUACAGGGCUGUUGUCCGUGUGUGUAGAGAUAGGAUUAGGAAAGCCAAGGCGCAGAUGGAGCUGAACUUGGUGCGGGAUGCGACAGACAACAAGAAGGGGUUCUACAGGUACAUAGGCAGGAGGAGACAGGCCAAGGAGAGUGUUCUCCCCCCGAUGAAAGGUAAUGGGGAGCUGGCUUCCUCAGACAUAGAAAAAGCUGAGGUACUUAAUGAGUGCUUUGCCUCAGUCUUCACGGGUGGUCAGGCUUCCCAUGUCUGCCAGGACCAUGAGCCUCUAGGUGAGGGUGUGGGGAGUGGUUUCUGUCCACCAAGCUGAGCGGUGCAGUCGAUACAUUGGAAGGAAGGGAAGCCAUCCCGAGGGACCUGGACAGGCUGGAGAAGUGGUCCCACGAAAACCUAAUGAGGUUCAAUAAGGCCAAGUGCAGGGUGCUGCACUUGGGUCGGGGCAAUCCCAGGUACUUCUAUAAACAGGGGGGAAGAUCUCCGUGAGAGCAGCCCUGUGGAGAAGGACCUGGGGGUCCUGGUGGAUGAGAAGCUGGACAUGAACCAGCAGUGUGCACCUGCAGCCUGGAAGGCCAACUGUGUGCUGGGCUGCAUUUAAAAAAAAAAAAAAAAAAAAAAAAAAGGCAGUGGCCAGCAGGGAGAGGUGAUUGUGCCCCUCUACUCAGCUCUUGAGAGGCCCCAUCUGAAGUACUGCGUCCAGACCUGGUGCUCCCAGUACAGGAAGGACAUGGAGCUCUUGGAGCGCAUCCAGAGGAGGGCCACUAAGAUGAUCAGAGGGCAGGAGCACCUCUCCUGUGAGGAAAGGUUGAGGGAACUGGGCUUGUUUAGCUUGGCGAAGAGAAGGCUCCAGGGGGACCUCAUUGUGGCCUUCCA
ensembl:lncRNA